GGAAUUACUGGGCGUAAAGAGCUCGUAGGUGGUUUGUCGCGUCGUCUGUGAAAUCCCGGGGCUUAACUUCGGGCGUGCAGGCGAUACGGGCAUAACUUGAGUGCUGUAGGGGAGACUGGAAUUCCUGGUGUAGCGGUGAAAUGCGCAGAUAUCAGGAGGAACACCGAUGGCGAAGGCAGGUCUCUGGGCAGUAACUGACGCUGAGGAGCGAAAGCAUGGGUAGCGAACAGGAUUAGAUACCCUGGUAGUCCAUGCCGUAAACGGUGGGCGCUAGGUGUACGGGGCUUCCACGUCUUCUGUGCCGUAGCUAACGCAUUAAGCGCCCCGCCUGGGGAGUACGGCCGCAAGGCUAAAACUCAAAGGAAUUGACGGGGGCCCGCACAAGCGGCGGAGCAUGUGGAUUAAUUCGAUGCAACGCGAAGAACCUUACCUGGGCUUGACAUGUACCGGAUCGGGCUAGAGAUAGUCUUUCCCUUGUGGUCGGUAUACAGGUGGUGCAUGGUUGUCGUCAGCUCGUGUCGUGAGAUGUUGGGUUAAGUCCCGCAACGAGCGCAACCCUUGUCUUAUGUUGCCAGCACGUUAUGGUGGGAACUCAUGAGAGACUGCCGGGGUUAACUCGGAGGAAGGUGGGGAUGACGUCAAAUCAUCAUGCCCCUUAUGUCCAGGGCUUCACACAUGCUACAAUGGUCGAUACAAUGGGCAGCGACAUCGUGAGGUGAAGCGAAUUCCUGAAAGUCGGCCUUAGUUCGGAUUGGGGUCUGCAACUCGACCCCAUGAAGUCGGAGUCGCUAGU
rnacentral:rRNA from 1 species